CCCACAGAGGCAGCCCCUGCCUGGAAUCUCGCCCUUCACGUGGCUCCGACCCCCGAAGUCCCGCCCUUCGGGAGCUCGGCGCCCUCAUCGCCCCUCCCCUCCCCGGAGCUCCGCCUUCGCCGGGGGCCCGCCCCUGAGGCCCCGCCCAGCGGGUUUCCUUGCGCGCCCGGUGUUAGGCUGCAGCCUGUGCGGGUGCGCGGUCCCCACGGGAGCUUAGCCAGCUUGGUUUCUGCUUUCUGGGAGAGCUGGCGCACCUCCUGCACCUGCGACUUCACCAACUGGAUGUGAUUCCUGGCGGUUAUAGAGGCCUGAUCGGCUCCUGUCAAGAGAAGGGACAGUGCAUGGAGCACAGAGAAGUCAGACAUGAAGGCCCGAGACUGCAGCUUGUUCCUCAUGAGGUUUCCUUCCUCGACAUCCUGCUUCUGAGUUCAGGUCUGCAUCUUACUCAUUUUCAAGACAUGGGGUAUUGGAUGCUGGGGAGAUGACUCAGUGGGCACCUGCUGCUCCACAGUACCCAAGAUUGGGAGUACCCCAUGUUGGGUGGCUCACAACCACCAGUGACUUGAGCUCCUGGGGAUCUGAUGCCCUAUUCUAGACUCUAUGGGCACCUACAUGCACAUACACCUACAAAAACAUGCACCAAAUUAAAACAGACAAAAAGGCAGGGCUUCUCAAUACAGCCUAGGCUGGCCUUGAAUUUUUCUGUCUCACUCCUAAGCUGUAUCAUCAUACUCAGGUGGGUGCUACACUUGAACAUUGUUGUGUUUGGCUAUGUCUGUAUUUCAGGACUUGUUCUCAGAUUCUAUAUACUUUCUAUUUCUCCUUAGCUUGGGAUUGUUUAAAUAAUUUUGAUUUACUAUGUGAGUGGAUGCUACAUGUAUGAGGUACCUGUGGAGACCAGAAGAGGGCAUCAGAUCCCCGUGGAUGUGGGUCCUCUGAAGAGCAGCAAGCACUUUUUUUUAAAGAUUUUAUUUAUUGAUUAUUUAUUAUGUAUACAGUGUUCUGCCUGCAUGUAUGCCUUCCUGACAGAAGAGGGCACCAGAUCUCAUUACAGAUGGUUGUGAGAUUAUAGGCAUGAACCACCAUAUCCAGCACUUUAACAUUUUAAUACAAAGAAACACGAAGCAACGGCUCAAUUUGUUUGCUUUCUAAUUGUAGCCUGGUGUCUUCAGAGUGGGAGUGUACAGGAACUUCAAGACCCAAAAGUGCCUGUGAGGUCAGUGCCAGCACUGACCCCGAGCAGGGAAAGAAUGAAAGAAUGCUCUACUGUUUUCA